rnacentral:misc_RNA from 1 species
GAUGAAGAACGUAGCGAAAUGCGAUAAGUAGUGUGAAUUGCAGAAUUCAGUGAAUCAUCGAAUCUUUGAACGCACAUUGCGCCCCUUGGUAUUCCAUGGGGCAUGCCUGUUCGAGCGUCAUUUGUACCCUCAAGCACUGCUUGGUGUUGGGUGUUUGUCCCGCUUUGUGCGUGGACUCGCCUUAAAGCAAUUGGCAGCCGGCAGAUUGGCCUGGAUCGCGAGCACAUUUUGCGACCUUGUCAUAACUGUUUGGCACCCAUCAAGGCUAUUUUUUGCUCUUGACCUCGGAUCAGGUAGGGAUACCCGCUGAACUUAAGCAUAUCAAUAAGCGGAGGA